rnacentral:rRNA from 1 species
CGAGUUUGAUCCUGGCUCAGAUUGAACGCUGGCGGCAGGCCUAACACAUGCAAGUCGAGCGGAUGAUGGGAGCUUGCUCCCGGAUUCAGCGGCGGACGGGUGAGUAAUGCCUAGGAAUCUGCCUGGUAGUGGGGGACAACGUUUCGAAAGGAACGCUAAUACCGCAUACGUCCUACGGGAGAAAGCAGGGGACCUUCGGGCCUUGCGCUAUCAGAUGAGCCUAGGUCGGAUUAGCUAGUUGGUGGGGUAAAGGCCUACCAAGGCGACGAUCCGUAACUGGUCUGAGAGGAUGAUCAGUCACACUGGAACUGAGACACGGUCCAGACUCCUACGGGAGGCAGCAGUGGGGAAUAUUGGACAAUGGGCGAAAGCCUGAUCCAGCCAUGCCGCGUGUGUGAAGAAGGUCUUCGGAUUGUAAAGCACUUUAAGUUGGGAGGAAGGGCAGUAAGUUAAUACCUUGCUGUUUUGACGUUACCAACAGAAUAAGCACCGGCUAACUUCGUGCCAGCAGGCGCGGUAAUACGAAGGGUGCAAGCGUUAAUCGGAAUUACUGGGCGUUAAGCGCGCGUAGGUGGGUUGGUAAGAUGGAUGU